GAUGAACGCUGGCGGCGUGCCUAACACAUGCAAGUCGAACGAUGAAGCCCAGCUUGCUGGGUGGUUCAGUGGCGAACGGGUGGGUAACUCGUGAGUAACCUGCCCUUAACUCUUGGAUAAGCCUGGGCGACUGGGUCUAAUACCUGAUAGGAGAUACCACCGCCUGGUGGGUGCUGGAAAGAUUUAUCGGUUUUGGAUGGACUCGCGGCCUAUCAGCUUGUUGGUGAGGGAAUGGCUAACGAAGGCGACGACGGGUAGCCGGCCCGAGAGGGGGACCGGGCACACUAGGACUGAGACACGGCGCAGACGCCAACGGGAGGCAGCAGUGGGGAAUAUUGCACAAUGAGCGCAAGCGUGAUACAGCGGCGCCGGGUGAGGGAUGACGUCUUUCGGGGUGUAAACCUCUUUCAGUAGGGAAGAAGCGAAAGUGACGGUACCUGCAGAAGAAGCACCGGCUAACUACGUG
rnacentral:rRNA from 1 species